GGGCGCAAGCGUUGUCCGGAAUUAUUGGGCGUAAAGAGCUCGUAGGCGGUCUGUUGCGUCCGCUGUGAAAACUCGGGGCUUAACCCCGAGCCUGCAGUGGAUACGGGCAGACUAGAGGUAGGUAGGGGAGAAUGGAAUUCCCGGUGUAGCGGUGAAAUGCGCAGAUAUCGGGGGGAACACCGGUGGCGAAGGCGGUUCUCUGGGCCUUACCUGACGCUGAGGAGCGAAAGCGUGGGGAGCGAACAGG
rnacentral:rRNA from 1 species